rnacentral:rRNA from 1 species
GACGAACGCUGGCGGCGUGCUUAACACAUGCAAGUCGAACGGAAAGGCCCUGCUUUUGUGGGGUGCUCGAGUGGCGAACGGGUGAGUAACACGUGAGUAACCUGCCCUUGACUUUGGGAUAACUUCAGGAAACUGGGGCUAAUACCGGAUAGGAGCUCCUGCUGCAUGGUGGGGGUUGGAAAGUUUCGGCGGUUGGGGAUGGACUCGCGGCUUAUCAGCUUGUUGGUGGGGUAGUGGCUUACCAAGGCUUUGACGGGUAGCCGGCCUGAGAGGGUGACCGGCAACAAUGGGACUGAGAUACGGCCCAGACUCCAACGGGAGGCAGCAGUGGGGAAUAUUGCACAAUGGGCGGAAGCCUGAUGCAGCAACGCCGCGUGCGGGAUGACGGCCUUCGGGUUGUAAACAGAUUUCGCAUGUGACGAAGCGUGAGUGACGGUAAUGGGUAAAGAAGCACCGGCUAACUACGUG